GCCCCUGUGCGGGUCAACCGGUUGUUAGAGCAUGGCAUUAACGCCGCCGCGGUCAAGGGUUCGAUUCCCGCUUGGGCCG